UACGUAGGGGGCAAGCGUUGUCCGGAUUUAUUGGGCGUAAAGAGCGUGUAGGCGGUCAGGUAGGUCCGUUGUGAAAACUCGAGGCUCAACCUCGAGACGCCGAUGGAAACCAUCUGACUAGAGUCCGGAAGAGGAGAGUGGGAAUUCCUGGUGUAGCGGUGAAUGACGCAGAUAUCAGGAAGAACACCCGUGGCGAAGGCGGCUCUCUGGGACGGUACUGACGCUGAGACGCGAAAGCGUGGGGAGCGAACAGG
rnacentral:rRNA from 1 species